AAAACACACUUAUUAAGUAUGUCUAACGUCACAUAAGAAGGCUAUGAGCAUAGGGAAGCAGUGCAACAAAAGUAUAAAUAUAUGAAGGAAACAAGAAUUAAAACGAUUAUGUCACCAAUUGAAUAUUGAAAUCUUUUCCUAUUCCAAGAAACGGUGCUUUUAUUGUGAAGGCCCACUGCCUUGGUUUCCGGUUUAGCGGCUCAUCAUUUGCGCUUGACUUUCGGUGAAAGCGGAUCUAGUUUUUUUCUGGGACACGCCCUCGCGGGAGGGGCGGGGCCUCGCGACCCAUCCUUAAGGACAGCUCCGUGGCUGUGAACCCGGUGACCCGCAGCUUUUGUCCGGGCUGCUGCCCAGCUGAGCCCCGCUGCGGGAUCCACAUGUCGGAGAGCUGCGGCGGCAGGCGGGAGUGUUCCGCAGCGCCGCCUACAGCAAGGGCGCGGGAAGGUUUAGGAAACAACAAAGCUCAACAUGAGCCGCUGGUUUCAUCCAGACAUGUUUGUUUUGAACAAAUCCUUAGAAACUCCAGCUGGAGGUUCAUCAGGUCACUGUGGAUCUGCAGGGACCGUUCAGAUCCUUCAGAUCCUGCAGAUCCUGUCCUGUCUUCUGUCAGGAUCCAGCAUCCCGGUUCUCCUCAGGUGCUGCCGGUCGGGUUUCCGUCCAGGUCAUCGUCCUCUCUUCUCCAGGAUCGACUGUAUAAAGCAUGUGGAUAUUUGAGCUCAGACCUGAGCGUGAAGACGCGUGUCCAGCUGACGUCCUCAUAAAUUAUCACCAGACACGUUCUGGUUCUUCCACCAGAGAAUGACGGCAGCAGAACCCAAUCAGAACUCUGGGUUACAAACUUACAAGAAGCUGAACGAACAGACGGACGGAUAUGGAGCUAAAUUGGAGCCAAAAUUGUUUGAAACCCAAAUAAAAACCUUAAAAAGACAUAUUGGUGUUUGGCCAAAAAAAAAAUCACAAGUAUCCAAAACUCUUUGCUGUUCGAACUAAACUUUAUUAUUUUCAGCUUCAAAUGUUCUGUUUUUUAGGUUUCAAAACUUGAAAUUUCAAUGUCAAAAAUGUUUUUUUUCAGUUUAAUUCUUUUGUCAGCCCCGCCCAAAUGCCCCAAAACGGGGCCAAAAGUUUUUAAAAAAGAAAUUUUCAGACUCAAAACCAGAAAAAAGAGUUGAAAGUGAGACAUCGAUCUGAAACUGGAUGAAACGUUUUGACAUGAAAAUAUUGAGUUUUUUAACAGAAAAAUCGAACAUUUAAGAUGAAAAUAAUUAAGUUUAUUUUAGAAUAGCAAAAAGUUUUGGGGUUUUUACUUUUUUUUACUAAACACCAAGUUUUUUCAGUUUAUUUUCUUUGGGUUUUAAAUAACAUCGGUCCAGAUUUCAGCUCUAGGAUGGAUGUUAAAGUCAAAGUUUGAUCUUGAUUUUCUCGUCAUUAAUCCGACAAACUGAAAGAUUAUUUACACCCAAAUGUAGAAACUGUAAAGCUGCAGGACUCAUUCAGACUAAAGAUGAAUUCUCCUCAGAAAUCAGGAGAUAAAACCAGAAUCCGUCCCUGAACAGAUCAUCUUUAAAGACUCUCAUCAAAGGUUUGUUUUUGUCGUGUUUGUUUCUUUUUUCUGGUGAUGGAAAACGUGAGAAAUCUGCAUUAAAAUCCUGUUUCUGA